rnacentral:rRNA from 1 species
UAACUACGCGAAAGCGUAGCCAAUACCGCAUACGCCCUACGGGGGAAAGCAGGGGAUCGCAAGACCUUGCACUAUUGGAGCGGCCGAUAUCGGAUUAGCUAGUUGGUGGGGUAACGGCUCACCAAGGCGACGAUCCGUAGCUGGUUUGAGAGGACGACCAGCCACACUGGGACUGAGACACGGCCCAGACUCCUACGGGAGGCAGCAGUGGGGAAUUUUGGACAAUGGGGGAAACCCUGAUCCAGCCAUCCCGCGUGUGCGAUGAAGGCCUUCGGGUUGUAAAGCACUUUUGGCAGGAAAGAAACGUCGUGGGUUAAUACCCCGCGGAACUGACGGUACCUGCAGAAUAAGCACCGGCUAACUACGUGCCAGCAGCCGCGGUAAUACGUAGGGUGCAAGCGUUAAUCGGAUUACUGGGCGUAAAGCGUGCGCAGGCGGUUCGGAAAGAAAGAUGUGAAAUCCCAGAGCUUAACUUUGGAACUGCAUUUUUAACUACCGAGCUAGAGUGUGUCAGAGGGAGGUGGAAUUCCGCGUGUAGCAGUGAAAUGCGUA